GGGGAGAGCGGGGCUAACUGCAGUCGACGAACCUUCGGGUUAGUGGCGGACGGGUGAGUAACGCGUGAGAAUCUGCCCUCAGGAGGGGGAUAACGGUUGGAAACGACCGCUAAUACCCCAUAUGCCUAUUGGUGAAAUGAAUUUCGCCUGAGGAUGAGCUCGCGUCUGAUUAGCUUGUUGGUGAGGUAAUGGCUCACCAAGGCUUCGAUCAGUAGCUGGUCUGAGAGGAUGAUCAGCCACACUGGGACUGAGACACGGCCCAGACUCCUACGGGAGGCAGCAGUGGGGAAUUUUCCGCAAUGGGCGAAAGCCUGACGGAGCAACGCCGCGUGAGGGACGAAGGCCUCUGGGCUGUAAACCUCUUUUCUCAAGGAAGAAGAUAUGACGGUACUUGAGGAAUAAGCCACGGCUAAUUCCGUGCCAGCAGCCGCGGUAAUACGGGAGUGGCAAGCGUUAUCCGGAAUUAUUGGGCGUAAAGCGUCCGCAGGCGGCUUUUCAAGUCUGCUGUUAAAACGUGGAGCUUAACUCCAUCAUGGCAGUGGAAACUGAAAGGCUUGAGUAUGGUAGGGGCAGAGGGAAUUCCCGGUGUAGCGGUGAAAUGCGUAGAUAUCGGGAAGAACACCAGUGGCGAAGGCGCUCUGCUGGGCCAUUACUGACGCUCAUGGACGAAAGCCAGGGGAGCGAAAGGGAUUAGAUACCCCUGUAGUCCUGGCCGUAAACGAUGAACACUAGGUGUCGGGGGAAUCGACCCCUUCGGUGUCGUAGCUAACGCGUUAAGUGUUCCGCCUGGGGAGUACGCACGNCAGUGUGAAACUCAAAGGAAUUGACGGGGGCCCGCACAAGCGGUGGAG
rnacentral:rRNA from 1 species